rnacentral:rRNA from 1 species
UACGGAGGGCGCAAGCGUUGUUCGGAAUCACUGGGCGUAAAGCGCACGCAGGCGGAUCGAUAAGUCGGGGGUGAAAGCCCGGGGCUCAACCUCGGAAUUGCCUUCGAUACUGUCGGUCUCGAGUCCGGGAGAGGUGAGUGGAAUUCCUAGUGUAGAGGUGAAAUUCGUAGAUAUUAGGAAGAACACCAGUGGCGAAGGCGGCUCACUGGCCCGGUACUGACGCUCAGGUGCGAAAGCGUGGGGAGCAAACAGG